rnacentral:rRNA from 1 species
UAGUCAUAUGCUUGUCUUAAAGAUUAAGCCAUGCAUGUCUAAGUAUAAGUGAUUAUACAUCGAAACUGCGAAUGGCUCAUUAAAUCAGUUAUAGUUUACUUGAUUGUUACUUCUACUUGGAUAACCGUAGUAAUUCUAGAGCUAAUACAUGCGAAAAAAUCCCGACUUUUCGGAAGGGAUGCACUUAUUAGGUACAAAAACCAGUGGUGGGGCUUGCUCCACUUAAUUGGUGAAUCUAGAUAAUUGUCGAAUCGGUGUGGUCUCGUACCGUCGAUAAA